GGGUUGUGAGGUUAAGCGACUAAGCGUACACGGUGGAUGCCCUGGCAGUCAGAGGCGAUGAAGGGCGUGCUAAUCUGCGAUAAGCGCCGGUAAGGUGAUAUGAACCGUUAUAACCGGCGAUACCCGAAUGGGGAAACCCAGUGUGAUUCGUCACACUAUCAUUAACUGAAUCCAUAGGUUAAUGAGGCGAACCGGGGGAACUGAAACAUCUAAGUACCCCGAGGAAAAGAAAUCAACCGAGAUUCCCCCAGUAGCGGCGAGCGAACGGGGAGGAGCCCAGAGCCUGAAUCAGCAUGUGUGUUAGUGGAAGCGUCUGGAAAGGCGCGCGAUACAGGGUGACAGCCCCGUACACAAAAGCGCAUGUGCUGUGAGCUCGAUGAGUAGGGCGGGACACGUGGUAUCCUGUCUGAAUAUGGGGGGACCAUCCUCCAAGGCUAAAUACUCCUGACUGACCGAUAGUGAACCAGUACCGUGAGGGAAAGGCGAAAAGAACCCCGGCGAGGGGAGUGAAAAAGAACCUGAAACCGUGUACGUACAAGCAGUGGGAGCACCCUUUGGGUGUGACUGCGUACCUUUUGUAUAAUGGGUCAGCGACUUAUAUUCUGUAGCAAGGUUAACCGAAUAGGGGAGCCGGAGGGAAACCGAGUCUUAAUUGGGCGUUAAGUUGCAGGGUAUAGACCCGAAACCCGGUGAUCUAGCCAUGGGCAGGUUGAAGGUUGGGUAACACUAACUGGAGGACCGAACCGACUAAUGUUGAAAAAUUAGCGGAUGACCUGUGGCUGGGGGUGAAAGGCCAAUCAAACCGGGAGAUAGCUGGUUCUCCCCGAAAGCUAUUUAGGUAGCGCCUCGUGAAUUCAUCUCCGGGGGUAGAGCACUGUUUCGGCUAGGGGGCCAUCCCGGCUUACCAACCCGAUGCAAACUGCGAAUACCGGAGAAUGUUAUCACGGGAGACACACGGCGGGUGCUAACGUCCGUCGUGAAGAGGGAAACAACCCAGACCGCCAGCUAAGGUCCCAAAGUCAUGGUUAAGUGGGAAACGAUGUGGGAAGGCCCAGACAGCCGGAUGUUGGCUUAGAAGCAGCCAUCAUUUAAAGAAAGCGUAAUAGCUCACUGGUCGAGUCGGCCUGCGCGGAAGAUGUAACGGGGCUAAACCAUGCACCGAAGCUGCGGCAGCGACACUGUGUGUUGUUGGGUAGGGGAGCGUUCUGUAAGCCUGUGAAGGUGUGUCGUGAGGCAUGCUGGAGGUAUCAGAAGUGCGAAUGCUGACAUAAGUAACGAUAAAGCGGGUGAAAAGCCCGCUCGCCGGAAGACCAAGGGUUCCUGUCCAACGUUAAUCGGGGCAGGGUGAGUCGACCCCUAAGGCGAGGCCGAAAGGCGUAGUCGAUGGGAAACGGGUUAAUAUUCCCGUACUUGGUGUUACUGCGAAGGGGGACGGAGAAGGCUAUGUUGGCCGGGCGACGGUUGUCCCGGUUUAAGCGUGUAGGUGUGUGUUCCAGGUAAAUCCGGUUCACUUUAACACUGAGGCGUGACGACGAGGCACUACGGUGCUGAAGCAACAAAUGCCCUGCUUCCAGAAAAGCCUCUAAGCAUCAGGUAACAUCAAAUCGUACCCCAAACCGACACAGGUGGUCAGGUAGAGAAUACCAAGGCGCUUGAGAGAACUCGGGUGAAGGAACUAGGCAAAAUGGUGCCGUAACUUCGGGAGAAGGCACGCUGACACGUAGGUGAAGUGAUUUCUCAUGGAGCUGAAGUCAGUCGAAGAUACCAGCUGGCUGCAACUGUUUAUUAAAAACACAGCACUGUGCAAACACGAAAGUGGACGUAUACGGUGUGACGCCUGCCCGGUGCCGGAAGGUUAAUUGAUGGGGUCAGCGCAAGCGAAGCUCCUGAUCGAAGCCCCGGUAAACGGCGGCCGUAACUAUAACGGUCCUAAGGUAGCGAAAUUCCUUGUCGGGUAAGUUCCGACCUGCACGAAUGGCGUAAUGAUGGCCAGGCUGUCUCCACCCGAGACUCAGUGAAAUUGAACUCGCUGUGAAGAUGCAGUGUACCCGCGGCAAGACGGAAAGACCCCGUGAACCUUUACUAUAGCUUGACACUGAACAUUGAGCCUUGAUGUGUAGGAUAGGUGGGAGGCUUUGAAGUGUGGACGCCAGUCUGCAUGGAGCCGACCUUGAAAUACCACCCUUUAAUGUUUGAUGUUCUAACGUGGACCCGUUACCCGGGUUGCGGACAGUGUCUGGUGGGUAGUUUGACUGGGGCGGUCUCCUCCUAAAGAGUAACGGAGGAGCACGAAGGUUGGCUAAUCCUGGUCGGACAUCAGGAGGUUAGUGCAAUGGCAUAAGCCAGCUUGACUGCGAGCGUGACGGCGCGAGCAGGUGCGAAAGCAGGUCAUAGUGAUCCGGUGGUUCUGAAUGGAAGGGCCAUCGCUCAACGGAUAAAAGGUACUCCGGGGAUAACAGGCUGAUACCGCCCAAGAGUUCAUAUCGACGGCGGUGUUUGGCACCUCGAUGUCGGCUCAUCACAUCCUGGGGCUGAAGUAGGUCCCAAGGGUAUGGCUGUUCGCCAUUUAAAGUGGUACGCGAGCUGGGUUUAGAACGUCGUGAGACAGUUCGGUCCCUAUCUGCCGUGGGCGCUGGAGAACUGAGGGGGGCUGCUCCUAGUACGAGAGGACCGGAGUGGACGCAUCACUGGUGUUCGGGUUGUCAUGCCAAUGGCACUGCCCGGUAGCUAAAUGCGGAAGAGAUAAGUGCUGAAAGCAUCUAAGCACGAAACUUGCCCCGAGAUGAGUUCUCCCUGAGACUUAGAGUCUCCUGAAGGAACGUUGAAGACGACGACGUUGAUAGGCCGGGUGUGUAAGCGCAGCGAUGCGUUGAGCUAACCGGUACUAAUGAACCGUGAGGCUUAACCUUACAACGCCGAAG
rnacentral:rRNA from 1 species